rnacentral:rRNA from 1 species
GAGUUUGAACCUGGCUCAGGAUGAACGCUGGCGGCGUGCUUAACACAUGCAAGUCGAACGGACUCAUAUUGAAACCUAGUGAAGUAUGAGUUAGUGGCGGACGGGUGAGUAACGCGUGGGAAACCUGCCGUAUACUGGGGGAUAACACUUAGAAAUAGGUGCUAAUACCGCAUAAGCGCACAGCUUCGCAUGAAGCAGUGUGAAAAACUGAGGUGGUAUACGAUGGUUCCGCGUCUGAUUAGCUAGUUGGUGGGGUAAAAGCCUACCAAGGCAACGAUCAGUAGCCGGCCUGAGAGGGUGAACGGCCACAUUGGGACUGAGACACGGCCCAAACUCCUACGGGAGGCAGCAGUGGGGAAUAUUGCACAAUGGGGGAAACCCUGAUGCAGCGACGCCGCGUGAGUGAAGAAGUAUUUCGGUAUGUAAAGCUCUAUCAGCAGGGAAGAAAUACUGACCAUAGGGUCAGCAGACGGUACUU